rnacentral:rRNA from 1 species
CUCGUAGGCGGCUUGUCGCGUCUGCUGUGAAAUCCCGGAGCUCAACUCCGGGCCUGCAGUGGGUACGGGCAGGCUAGAGUGCGGUAGGGGAGAUUGGAAUUCCUGGUGUAGCGGUGGAAUGCGCAGAUAUCAGGAGGAACACCGAUGGCGAAGGCAGAUCUCUGGGCCGCUACUGACGCUGAGGAGCGAAAGCAUGGGGAGCGAACA